GGAACUUGAGGUCCUGAUUGGGGGCAGAAGGAGAACCCAAGGAAAGUUGACUUGGAGGCCCUUUCUGUCCCCACAGGACUUUGGCCUGG
rnacentral:pre_miRNA from 1 species